rnacentral:rRNA from 1 species
UACGGAGGGUGCUAGCGUUGUUCGGAAUUACUGGGCGUAAAGGGCGCGUAGGCGGCCGUUUGCGUCGGAUGUGAAAGCCCGGGGCUCAACCUCGGAACGGCAUUCGAUACGGGACGGCUGGAGACCGGGAGAGGAGAGUGGAAUAGCCAGUGUAGAGGUGAAAUUCGUAGAUAUUGGAUGGAACACCGGUGGCGAAAGCGGCUCUCUGGCCCGGUUCUGACGCUGAGGCGCGAAAGCGUGGGUAGCAAACAGG